rnacentral:rRNA from 1 species
AAUCAACGCUGGCGGCGUGCCUCAGACAUGCAAGUCGAACGCGAAAGGCCCCUUCGGGGGCCGAGUAGAGUGGCGUCCGGGUGAGUAACACGUGGGUAAUCUACCUUCGGGUGGGGAAUAACGACCGGAAACGGUCGCUAAUAACCGCAUAAUGCAGCGGCACCUAAUGGUGACAGUUGUUAAAGCGGGGGGAUCGCAAGACCUCGCGCCUGAAGAGGAGCCCGCGGCGGAUUAGCUAGUGGCAGGGUAACGGCCUACCAAGGCGACGAUCCGUAG